rnacentral:tRNA from 1 species
GUAGGUAUAGCUCAGUGGUAUUGCUCAUGCUUAGCAUGCAUGAGGUCCUGGAUUCAAUCCCUAGUACCUCCA